rnacentral:rRNA from 1 species
AACGAACGCUGGCGGCAGGCUUAACACAUGCAAGUCGAGCGCCCCGCAAGGGGAGCGGCAGACGGGUGAGUAACGCGUGGGAAUCUACCCAUCUCUACGGAAUAACGCAUGGAAACGUGUGCUAAUACCGUAUACGUCCUUCGGGAGAAAGAUUUAUCGGAGAUGGAUGAGCCCGCGUUGGAUUAGCUAGUUGGUGGGGUAAAGGCCUACCAAGGCGACGGUCCAUAGCUGGUCUGAGAGGAUGAUCAGCCACACUGGGACUGUGACACGGCCCAGACUCCUACGGGAGGCAGCAGUGGGGAAUAUUGGACAAUGGGCGAAAGCCUGAUCCAGCAAUGCCGCGUGAGUGAUGAAGGCCUUAGGGUUGUAAAGCUCUUUUACCCGGGAUGAUAAUGACAGUACCGGGAGAAUAAGCUCCGGCUAACUCCGUGCCAGCAGCCGCCGUAAGAC